AAUCCAUAGGUUAAUGAGGCGAACCGGGGGAACUGAAACAUCUAAGUACCCCGAGGAAAAGAAAUCAACCGAGAUUCCCCCAGUAGCGGCGAGCGAACGGGGAGGAGCCCAGAGCCUGAAUCAGCAUGUGUGUUAGUGGAAGCGUCUGGAAAGGCGCGCGAUACAGGGUGACAGCCCCGUACACAAAAGCGCAUGUGCUGUGAGCUCGAUGAGUAGGGCGGGACACGUGGUAUCCUGUCUGAAUAUGGGGGGACCAUCCUCCAAGGCUAAAUACUCCUGACUGACCGAUAGUGAACCAGUACCGUGAGGGAAAGGCGAAAAGAACCCCGGCGAGGGGAGUGAAAAAGAACCUGAAACCGUGUACGUACAAGCAGUGGGAGCACAGGUUUACCUGUGUGACUGCGUACCUUUUGUAUAAUGGGUCAGCGACUUAUAUUCUGUAGCAAGGUUAACCGUAUAGGGGAGCCGUAGGGAAACCGAGUCUUAACCGGGCGUUAAGUUGCAGGGUAUAGACCCGAAACCCGGUGAUCUAGCCAUGGGCAGGUUGAAGGUUGGGUAACACUAACUGGAGGACCGAACCGACUAAUGUUGAAAAAUUAGCGGAUGACCUGUGGCUGGGGGUGAAAGGCCAAUCAAACCGGGAGAUAGCUGGUUCUCCCCGAAAGCUAUUUAGGUAGCGCCUCGUGAAUUCAUCUCCGGGGGUAGAGCACUGUUUCGGCUAGGGGGCCAUCCCGGCUUACCAACCCGAUGCAAACUGCGAAUACCGGAGAAUGUUAUCACGGGAGACACACGGCGGGUGCUAACGUCCGUCGUGAAGAGGGAAACAACCCAGACCGCCAGCUAAGGUCCCAAAGUCAUGGUUAAGUGGGAAACGAUGUGGGAAGGCCCAGACAGCCAGGAUGUUGGCUUAGAAGCAGCCAUCAUUUAAAGAAAGCGUAAUAGCUCACUGGUCGAGUCGGCCUGCGCGGAAGAUGUAACGGGGCUAAACCAUGCACCGAAGCUGCGGCAGCGACGCUGAUGCGUUGUUGGGUAGGGGAGCGUUCUGUAAGCCUGUGAAGGUGGCCUGUGAGGGUUGCUGGAGGUAUCAGAAGUGCGAAUGCUGACAUAAGUAACGAUAAAGCGGGUGAAAAGCCCGCUCGCCGGAAGACCAAGGGUUCCUGUCCAACGUUAAUCGGGGCAGGGUGAGUCGACCCCUAAGGCGAGGCCGAAAGGCGUAGUCGAUGGGAAACGGGUUAAUAUUCCCGUACUUGGUGUUACUGCGAAGGGGGGACGGAGAAGGCUAUGUUGGCCGGGCGACGGUUGUCCCGGUUUAAGCGUGUAGGUGUGUGUUCCAGGUAAAUCCGGUUCACUUUAACACUGAGGCGUGAUGACGAGGCACUACGGUGCUGAAGCAACAAAUGCCCUGCUUCCAGGAAAAGCCUCUAAGCAUCAGGUAACAUCAAAUCGUACCCCAAACCGACACAGGUGGUCAGGUAGAGAAUACCAAGGCGCUUGAGAGAACUCGGGUGAAGGAACUAGGCAAAAUGGUGCCGUAACUUCGGGAGAAGGCACGCUGACACGUAGGUGAAGUGAUUUACUCAUGGAGCUGAAGUCAGUCGAAGAUACCAGCUGGCUGCAACUGUUUAUUAAAAACACAGCACUGUGCAAACACGAAAGUGGACGUAUACGGUGUGACGCCUGCCCGGUGCCGGAAGGUUAAUUGAUGGGGUCAGCGCAAGCGAAGCUCCUGAUCGAAGCCCCGGUAAACGGCGGCCGUAACUAUAACGGUCCUAAGGUAGCGAAAUUCCUUGUCGGGUAAGUUCCGACCUGCACGAAUGGCGUAAUGAUGGCCAGGCUGUCUCCACCCGAGACUCAGUGAAAUUGAACUCGCUGUGAAGAUGCAGUGUACCCGCGGCAAGACGGAAAGACCCCGUGAACCUUUACUAUAGCUUGACACUGAACAUUGAGCCUUGAUGUGUAGGAUAGGUGGGAGGCUUUGAAGCGUGGACGCCAGUCUGCAUGGAGCCGGCCUUGAAAUACCACCCUUUAAUGUUUGAUGUUCUAACGUGGACCCGUGAUCCGGGUUGCGGACAGUGUCUGGUGGGUAGUUUGACUGGGGCGGUCUCCUCCUAAAGAGUAACGGAGGAGCACGAAGGUUGGCUAAUCCUGGUCGGACAUCAGGAGGUUAGUGCAAUGGCAUAAGCCAGCUUGACUGCGAGCGUGACGGCGCGAGCAGGUGCGAAAGCAGGUCAUAGUGAUCCGGUGGUUCUGAAUGGAAGGGCCAUCGCUCAACGGAUAAAAGGUACUCCGGGGAUAACAGGCUGAUACCGCCCAAGAGUUCAUAUCGACGGCGGUGUUUGGCACCUCGAUGUCGGCUCAUCACAUCCUGGGGCUGAAGUAGGUCCCAAGGGUAUGGCUGUUCGCCAUUUAAAGUGGUACGCGAGCUGGGUUUAGAACGUCGUGAGACAGUUCGGUCCCUAUCUGCCGUGGGCGCUGGAGAACUGAGGGGGGCUGCUCCUAGUACGAGAGGACCGGAGUGGACGCAUCACUGGUGUUCGGGUUGUCAUGCCAAUGGCACUGCCCGGUAGCUAAAUGCGGAAGAGAUAAGUGCUGAAAGCAUCUAAGCACGAAACUUGCCCCGAGAUGAGUUCUCCCUGAGACUUAGAGUCUCCUGAAGGAACGUUGAAGACGACGACGUUGAUAGGCCGGGUGUGUAAGCGCAGCGAUGCGUUGAGCUAACCGGUACUAAUGAACCGUGAGGCUUAACCUUACAACGCCGAAG
rnacentral:rRNA from 6 species